UACGUAGGGGGCUAGCGUUGUCCGGAAUCAUUGGGCGUAAAGCGCGUGUAGGCGGCCCGGUAAGUCCGCUGUGAAAGUCGGGGGCUCAACCCUCGGAUGCCGGUGGAUACUGUCGGGCUCGAGUACGGAAGAGGCGAGUGGAACUCCUGGUGUAGCGGUGGAAUGCGCAGAUAUCAGGAAGAACACCAACGGCGAAGGCAGCUCGCUGGGACGGUACUGACGCUGAGACGCGAAAGCGUGGGGAGCGAACAGG
rnacentral:rRNA from 1 species